ACAAACUUGGUCAUUUAGAGGAAGUAAAAGUCGUAACAAGGUUUCCGUAGGUGAACCUGCGGAAGGAUCAUUAUUGAAUCCUUAGGAUGCUGCUGACCCUUGGGUAUGUGCACUCCGCCUUUCAAUACACCUGUGAACUCAUUGUAGGUGCAGAUGUAACAGUCUGCUGCCUACGUUUUUUUAACAAACUCUUAAAAUGUAUUUUGAACGUCUAAAUAUGACCUUUGAUGGUCAAUAAACUUUAAUACAACUUUCAACAAUGGAUCUCUUGGUUCUCGCAUCGAUGAAGAACGCAGC
rnacentral:misc_RNA from 1 species